CCUACGGGAGGCUGCAGUGGGGAAUAUUGCGCAAUGGGCGAAAGCCUGAAGCAGCGAAGCCGCGUGAGGGAUGAAGGUCCUCGGAAUGGAAACCUCUGUCAGCAGGGAAGCACGGUCACUGUGCUAAUCAGCAGUGAAUUGACGGUACCUGCAAAGGAAGCACCGGCUAACUCCGUGCCAGCAGCCGCGGUAAUACGGAGGGGGCGAGUGUUAAUCGGAAUUACUGGGCGUAAAACGGUCGUAGGCGGUAUGUCAAGGCAAGGGUGAAAUCCCCGCGCUUAACGUGUGAACUGCCGUUGAAACUGGCGAACUGGAGUGUGCGAGAGGUUAGUGGAAUUCCAGGUGUAGGGGUGAAAUCCGUAGAUAUCUGGAAGAACAUC
rnacentral:rRNA from 1 species